rnacentral:lncRNA from 1 species
AUUAGUGCAAUUCCUCAAGUUUUUUUUUCCUGUUUAGGCUAGCCAGUUGUAAGUGAGCAUGUGGACUUCACAGGAGAAAACACGAUGUCUUCCGUGGUUCAUAAUGAGCAAAUUGGAAACACAGGUUCAAUGGAACUUCCGGACCAAAUUUCAAGGAAUUCCGACCACCAUCCGUGCAUGGCACACUAGCUUCAUAACCACAGGCUCUGUGUUUCAUAAGAAAGGAGCAGGACGACCCAGAAUAAGUGUUGAAAACGUUGAGCGGGUAUGUGAAACGUAUGUUACAGCAUAACUGGCAAGAAGCAUUCCCUGGGCAAUCCGAAAAAUUCAAUUCGUUCGGAUGCUAGGCAAUUGCAAAUACCCAGAUCCAGAGUCCACAUGGUGCUUCACAAACGGUUGCGUCUCUAUGCCUAUAAGGUACAGCUGUAGCGGGCAAUGUUACCAACAGACAAACCAGUAUGUGCGGAGUUUGCCAUAGAGAUGUUACACCGUAUGGGUGAAGAUGAAGGGUUCUUAAAACAGGUGUGCUUUAUUGAAACAGGUGAAGAUGAAGGGUUCUUGAAACAGGUGUGCUUUAUUGAAACAGAUGAAGAUGAAGGGUUCUUGAAACAGGUGUGCUUUAGUGAUGAGGCAACAUUUCAUAUGUCUGGCCAAUUAAACUGACAUUACAUACGAAUAAGGGGUUCGUAAAUCCCACAUGAAACACUAGAAAUUGAAAGAAACAGCCAAAAGGUCAAUGCCUGGUCUGAUGCACAAUCGAAUCAUUGGGCAUUUUUUCUUCAUUAAUGGCGUUUUUUCUUCGUUAAUGUUAAAAGAGUUAAUGAUGGCAUGUAUAUGGAUAUGCUUCACCUCUUUGCUCUUCCUCAGUUGGAGGGUUUGCAGCCUAAUGUUUGGUUCCACUCCAUCACUCUGGUUUAGAGCAAUUUGUGAUCAAAUAGACGAAAAACCUUCCCCACCGAUGGAUUGGACGGGUUGGCCUAAUUGCAUGGCCACCAAGGUCUCCGGACAUCAUACCCCUUAACUUCUUUCUGUGGAAUUAUUCGAAGGAUGCUGUUUACCGUACACAGGUUUCUGACAUUGCUGAUUUAAAACGACGCAUUACAGAUGUUUUUACGGCUGUCACAGACGAGAUGUUACAGCAUAACUGGCAAGAAGUUGAAUGCAGACUGGAUGUGCUUAGGGCCACAAAUGGUGCACAGGUUGAGGUGUAUCCAUGAACAGAAACAAAACUUGAUGAGUUGCACUGACUGCAGAAAACAGAAAAUGAAUAAUCUGGUGAUUAUUAUUAUGAAGACUUCGUCAAACUGGACUGAAAUAGCACUUUGUAGUUUUAUCGUAUCAUCGCUCGUCAUCUGCAUAAUGAUAAUAUUACUGAAAAUACUUCAUGAAAGAAGAAAAUUAAAUAUCUUAGCUUUCGACAGUGAACAAGAUUGAAGAAACUAUAUUUUCCUUUCUACUUUUUCAACUUUAUCUUCCUUUCUACGUUAGAAGACACUUUUAUAAUUUUAUUCCAUUCUGAUGUUUUACUUAUUAUUUUAUAUUAUGUUUACCUAUUCAUCAAACUGCCAAAAAAUUGUAUUAAAGAAAGGAAAUUAUUGUUAAAUAUUUAAUUUAUACUCUAAUGUUUAUUUAUUAUUUCGUUAACUUUAAAUUUUUGGAGGUUUACUUAUUUAUAUACAAAUUUAACUAGUAUUUAUUUACUAAUAUGAUAGUACACAAUGUAUGUUACCGUCGUUCAUGAAAGUUGGUGAAGAUCCUGCCACACUUGCGCCGCUGAUUUCGGCAGUUGUUUUAAGAACAGAUCACUCUUCGACUACCGUAAAUAAAAGUUACGAAAUCUCUUCCUAUCUCAGUGAUUUACGUACCCUUUGUUUGAUGCCAGGCUUCCGUUACUUUGAAAAUAUUCUACUAUAUGCUGUUUUACGGAAGGCAGGUUCCAUUUAAUAACUUUUUCAAAAUACGAGGGAUGGACAGAGAAAUAGUGAUUAACUUAUAUCAUUUCUUACAAAAACUAUAUUCCCUUUUCGAGGAUUGAUAGCGGUUACAUAAACGACUACGAUUCGUUAUCAUUACCGAACUAUUGCAAAAAGCAAUUUUGCCGGUUCCUUGAAUUAAACCCAGAGGCACAUGACAUAAAAGUUCCGGACGUGGGAAUUUCUGAAGAGAAAUCGAGGGCAAGAGAAAGGAAAGAAGAAAAGGGGGAGGCAACCAAAUGGUCAGAAAGCCAAAACUAAGAAUCUGUUAUAAUAUCCUCAGAACUGGACGAGGGACGAAAUAAAAUACCAGACAUAGAUAUCCAUAUACAAAUACUAUCUACAAAAAUCGACAUACAAGGUACAAUCAAGAUACAAUGUGCGAGAUGCAACAAACUCUAUAAAAGUUAUACAAAUACAAGAUGCAAUACAAGCCAAGAAAACAAGUUAAAAAAUUAAAAACUACUAAUUAUUAAAUCAGAGGCAACCAACUUUGAGGAGUUUAAGUAACGAGAUUUUGAUAGCCAUCGAUUAUAGUAUGUGGUGCAAGAGGCCUAAUUGUUUUGUCAUCAUGAAGAAUCUCAUAACUAAAUACUUGAGAGUAGUUCACAAAGUCGCAGGAGAUUUCCUUAUUAAAGAAUUUCGUCUAAUGAAUUGAGCAACAGACUCAAUUUUAAAAUCACUGUGAACAGUUACAUAAACCGAUAUUAAUUACCAAUAUUGAUUUAUGGCUGGUUCAUCGCCACCAGCUCAAUUGAAGUAUUGUGUUCAAGGUAUUGUGUUCAAGGGACGGAGACUUGGUGACGGGAAGUAGAAGAAAGUGACACGUUGUCAUCAUGAAGAGACAAUCAGUAGUGUUUGUUUAUCGAAAACGGCCGACUGGAAAGGAAAGUAUCAAUAAGGGUACUUUUUUUUAAUGAAUUGGAUCGUUUACCUUAUUACGUAUGAGUUACGCCUAAUUUUUUUUCAAAUUUAUCUUAAUUACUGGGAAAAUAAGUUAUACGAGUCUGUACAAAAGCUUUCUACAGUUGAUUUUAAUUUCCUUGCAUUUUUCGGCAAUCUGCAUGAAUUUGCUGAAGAAAUUAUUUAUUUUUCAUUAACUUUUAAGUUAUUCUUCGACUUGUUCGGAGUUUUACUUUGUUCAUGUUAGAGAGAACACUGUGCUUGUGCAGCGAAAUUUUCUUUAGGUGCUGGGAUAUUACGAUUCCGAGUAUCAUUGGCAUCACAUUUCAUCGGUCUCCCAAGGGAACUUUAUAUCUUCUUUCCAGACGCUAAUUGGAAUAAAAUUUACAUUUCUUCGAAAAAGCCACGUGAGCCAGCUUACAGAGGAUGCAUGUAGGCUUCUUUUCUUUAGAAAUAGUAUAUGUAUAGGCCAGGUAAUCCUGAGUACACUUCAUACAUGAUUGUCGCAGAUCUGACCAUGGCCAAAUCUCUGACAACGAAAUCAAAUCAUGGCGUUUCCGCCCCGAUUUGUAACGUCUAAUUCUGACAUGCAGUUCCAAAACCGUCUUCUACGAGUAGAUGCUUUUGCGUUUAUCUGUUCUUAUCACCGAAGCAAAAAAUACAGAAAAUUUGUCAUGGUGUCUUGAAUUUUCUCUGUAACUUGAGUAAUUUUUAUAGGAAGUCCUUUGGCAAGAAGUUCCGUUUCAGUUUCCUUGGGGUCAGAAUCAGCUGGUAAUAUACAACCUUGAUAUGUGUCUCAGAGAAAGUUUCGUAUCUCUUGCCAAGUGACCUCUCUCGGACAGAGCAGAGGGGGCAGUCUUUCUUUUUCUAGUUUAGUCAAUGGUAUUAGAAGUGACAAUCAUGUGCAAGAUUUCCAAAUUUCAUUUUUGUCUUGGCACUCCAUUUUAUUAUCAUCAGGACUGACAACAUUUAAGUUUUCGAACUGGUUUAGACACUGGCUCAGGAAUAGCAAUUUGAUGUCUUCUGGGUGAAUUUUGCGGAGUAAUAUAUAUGCACAAAUUAGAUGUUUUUCUGUAUUAUUUCGUAAACUACUGGAAAAAGAACUAAAUGCGUAGAGGUUUUUAAAAAUCGAAUGGAAUUUAUGCCUUUUAUUAGGAAGCAAAUUCUAUCAAUAGCUAGUAAAAUUUUGGAGCAAUCCAAAAGCAAAAUUUCCAUUUUGCUUAAUAAUUGCAUACAUUUAUAGAUUUUUCCAAUCGCAGAUAAGUUGAGGGAUAAAUGUUCGCAGGUUUGAUAAUAAAAGAUUCUUGAAACUACGCUUUUACUUUUUGCAGCAGGGUUUUUAAUUAAAAAAAUGGAUUAGCUGUGAGAAUUUAAAUAAUGAUCAUCCGAAAAUGAACACCUUUUUUUAUACUUCACAAGUAUUAAAACUAUUAUUGUUUAACAAAUUAAAAGUUAUGAUUGACCUUGAGAUAUUCAAAUUUUUCAGUAAACUAACAAGAUUAGAUGCAAUUGCGAAGGAUAUAAAUCCUUCUUUUUUCUUCGGAUAAUGUGAUUAGAUAAUUAUUAUAUGCACUAAUGAUAAAAACUAAAUAUAGUAGAAGACCUGAUGCAUUAAUUCCAUCGAUAAUAUGCUUAAGUGUUUAACUAUUGCAUAAUGAAAAAAAUUUUUUUAUUCUUUAUUUUCUUUUUUUUCUUCAUGUCUGCUUGAUUAAACUUAUGAUAAAAGAAUCUGGUACUUUAUCUUUUUAUACCAAUAUAGAAAAAUAAAAUCAUACAAUGCAUUAAAAGACGCAGACGUUAGAUUUUUAAACUAAAAAGAAUACUUUGAUUUAUUAAAAUUUUUUAAAAAUUGCAUUCCAUCUUUUUUAAUUUUAAAAAUUAUGCUUCAAUUGUUUCUUAAAAUAGAUAAACAAAGAAGACAAAAGCAGCUGUUUAAUACAGCUUAAAGAUAUUAAUGUUACAAAAUUUUGCGAAAUAACGUAAACUCAACUUCAGUGAAUAAAAUGGUAUUUUUAACCUCG